rnacentral:lncRNA from 1 species
CUGAAAUAUGAUAUUUACAUAAGGAUUCAGACACCUACUCAGUAUUUUGUUGAAUCACCUUUGGCAGCGAUUACAGUCUUGAGUCUUCUUGGGUAUGACGCUACAAGCUUGGCACACCUGUAUUUGGGGAGUUUCUCCCAUUCUUCUCUGCAGAUCCUCUCAAGCUCUGCCAGGUUGGACGGGGAGCGUCGCUGCGCAGCUAUUUUCAGGAGACAUGGAGUACAAACAAAUCUUCUGCAAGAGGUCGAAGCAGUGUGUGGUUGAAGAAAGUGUCCACCUGGAGCGCAGAAAGGCCAGACAAGGAGCCAGAGACACAACUCCCAAACCCAACAUCCCUGCCAACAUCAACACAGCAACAAAGCCUGCUACACCAACUGCCAUUGUCCAACACAAGACGAGGUUUACCAGUGGAAGAACAUUCUGGAACCUGCCUGAAACAUUCAUCCAACACAACAUCCAUAUUCGGUUUGACCGAUGUUGUAGUUUAAAAUAGAAUGCCUAGUAUGCUCAUGCAUUGUGGUGUAGACAUUGCUAGCUCUUGUACAUACAGUGGCUUCGGAAAGUAUACAGAGGCCUUGACUUUUUCCAUAUUUUGUUACGCUACAGCCUUAUUCUAAAAUGGAUUUAAAAAAAAAAUGUUUUGUCUCUCAGCAAUCUGCGUACAAUAUCCCAUAAUGACAAAGUGAAAACAGGGUUUUUAGAAUUUUUUGCAAAUGUAUUUAAAAAUGAAAAACAGAAUAACUUAUUUACAUCAGUAUUCAGACCCUUUUGCUAUGAGACUCGAAAUUGAGCUCAGGUGAAUCCUGUUUCCAUUGAUCAUCCUUAAGAUGUUUCUACAACUUGAUUGGAGUCCACCUGUGGUAAAUUCAAUUGAUUGGACAUGAUUUGGAAAGGCACACACUGGUCUAUAUAAGGUCUCACAGUUCUCAGAGCAAAGCCAUGAGGUCGAAGUAAUUGCCCGUAGAGCUCCGAGACAGAAUUGUGUCGAGGCACAGUACUGGUGAAGGGUACCAAAAAAUGCCUGCAGCAUUGAAGGUCCCCAUGAACACAGUGGCCUCCAUCAAUCUUAAAUGGAAGAAGUUUGGAACCACCAAGACAUUUUGCCGCCCGGCCAAAAUGUUACACAGUAGGCCAUGUUACACAGUAGGCUGUGUUACACAGUAGGCUAUGUUAUACAUUAUACAGUAGACUAUGUUAUACAUUAUACAGUAGGCUAUGUUACACAGUAGACUGUUAUACAUUAUACAGUAGACU